rnacentral:tRNA from 1 species
GGGCCGAUAGCUCAGUUGGUUAGAGCACUCGGCUGAUAACCGAGAGGUCGGAAGUUCGAAUCUCCCUCGGCCCACCA